rnacentral:rRNA from 1 species
UUCGCAAUGCCCGAAAGGGUGACGAAGCGACGCCGCGUGGGUGAGGAAGGCCUUCGGGUUGUAAAGCCCUGUCAGGAGUUAAGAAAUAUAAGUGCGCUAAUAUCGCAUUUAUUUGACGAAGGCUCCAAAGGAAGCCACGGCUAACUCUGUGCCAGCAGCCGCGGUAAUACAGAGGUGGCAAGCGUUGUUCGGAAUUAUUGGGCGUAAAGAGCACGUAGGUGGGUUUGUAAGUCAGAUGUGAAAGCCUUCUGUUCAACGGAAGAAUUGCAUCUGAAACUGCAAGUCUUGAGUGUAGGAGGGGAGAAUGGAACUUCUGGUGGAGCGGUAAAAUGCGUAGAUAUCAGAAGGAACGCCGGCGGCGAAAGCGAUUCUCUGGCCUAUUACUGACACUCAGUGUGCGAAAGCUAGGGGAGCAAACGGGAUUAGAUACCCCGGUAGUCCUAGCUGUAAACGAUGGGCACUAAGUAGAGGGGUUUU